AUUGAACGCUAGCGGGAUGCUUUACACAUGCAAGUCGAACGGCAGCGCGGACUUCGGUCUGGCGGCGAGUGGCGAACGGGUGAGUAAUGUAUCGGAACGUGCCCAGUAGCGGGGGAUAACUACGCGAAAGCGUAGCUAAUACCGCAUACGCCCUACGGGGGAAAGCAGGGGAUCGUAAGACCUUGCACUAUUGGAGCGGCCUAUAUCGGAUUAGCUAGUUGGUGAGGUAACGGCUCACCAAGGCGACGAUCCGUAGCUGGUUUGAGAGGACGACCAGCCACACUGGGACUGAGACACGGCCCAGACUCCUACGGGAGGCAGCAGUGGGGAAUUUUGGACAAUGGGGGCAACCCUGAUCCAGCCAUCCCGCGUGUGCGAUGAAGGCCUUCGGGUUGUAAAGCACUUUUGGCAGGAAAGAAGCGUCGCGGGCUAAUACCUCGUGGAACUGACGGUACCUGCAGAAUAAGCACCGGCUAACUACGUG
rnacentral:rRNA from 1 species